UCCUCUGAGACCCAAUGGGAUCCAAGAGCAACAAUAAACAAUUACAGCUUGAUGGAGCGCCUUCUUGCCAUGCAAGGAAUCCUGAUCUCUACAAUACUGUCUUCAAAUGAGGGAGACAACCUUCAAAGCUUGUGUACAGGAACAUCCAGAACUCAACACACCAAUGAAGAUGCCUGAUUAUCACUGGCAGACGAGCAAUGAUCUCCAAAUAAAGGGGUGUCUCAAAUCCAGCAAGGGAAAAGAUGUUAAUAAACACUUUGUUGGGCCCAAGACCCCCUUAUUAAAAUGACACUACCCAACCCCCACAACAAGUGAAAUUCAUUCCUGGGAAGGCCAAAGGAGGUUGAUUUGACAAGUUUAUGCCUGAGCUUCCCAGUGCAAAAUCAGUGGUUUCACUCUCAGGGUCAGCGUUGAAGGGUAUUUCCUGUGACACCUGGGAAACAUAGAGGAAAACGAGCCUGUGCACUCCACUUUUGUGGCUCUAUGUAUGUAUUAUUACAUUUAUUGGAUAUUCUUUCUGAAGUUUUAUAUGGUAGAAGUGUUUCAACUUUCAGGGCCUUUGUCAUUAAGUGUGACUCAAACAACAUAUAAGGGUGUGUGCAUAGACAGAUACAGAUAAAUAGGUAGUUUGCUUUUGGAAAAGUCUUAUCCUGCCUGCAUGGCAAUUGAUAAAAAAAAAGGAAAAAAUUCUAGUUGGAAAAUAUAUUCUUCUUCGAGUGAUUGCUCAUGUCCAUUCAACGUUAGGUGUGCACUCGCCAUGUACAUGUUGUUGGUGAUUUUUCCCUCAGUGGUAUCUGUCAGGCCGGCUCUAUCGUCCUCUGGUGGCAUGCGCUGAUGCGCUGGAUUAAGGGGCACUGCCAGCCCUGCACCCCCCCUCCCAGUUUCUUCUUACCGCCCGUGACAGUUGCUGGAACAGCUUCUCUUGCUUAGGCAAGGCAUUUUUCCGUGGUUUUCUUCUCUGCAUCUUAGUCAUUAUUCUUAGUAUAGCUGUAGUGUAAAUACACUAGCGUAGACCCCCUCCUUUAUUGUAGAGGGGCUCCCGUUACUCCUGAGGCUGGGCAUGUACCAGUCUGUGGGAUUCAAAUCUUGUGCCUCCUGUGGCAAGCCCAUGCCAGUGAUCGACCCACACUCCAGUUGUCUGAAGUGUCUGGGAGACUCUCACGUAAGACAGCACAGUCAGAUUUGUUGGGACUUUAAGCCUCGUAUGAAGAAAGACAGAGAAGCUAGACUGAGGGCUAUCCUAAUGAAAGCCACUCUUAGACUGGCAUUGAAGCCAGGUCGCUCAGAUUCGGCACUUAGCACUUUGGCCUUGGUUCGAAGUGCCCCUUCUCCACCGUGCGUUUCCCGAUACUGUUCUCCAUCUCUGGUGCUGAGGAAGAGAGAUUAAAAAGCAGCGCGCUGAGAGAGGGCACUCUCUGGUGCUGAAGAAAGGCAAACAAGGGGAAGACAGUGGAGUGCGACACAUGUUGGGCCACUCCUCCACCCGAGAACCUAUGGUGGCACCGUCAACUCUGCCUAGAUGGACAUCGAGUCCAGUACAGAAUCCCCCACUGAUGCCAAGAAAAUCAUAGCGGCACCAGCAGGAUCAUGGUACCUUCUACCCUGGAGGUCUUUGCAGUGGCCAGGGACUUCUUAUCGCUCCCAGUACCGCUGACCUUGAUGGGACAACAGGCGGCUCUGAUGAGCAUGAGCAGGAGAGAGCAUAGUGCUCUGAGCUCCUUCCCGGCACCAGGACCUUUGGUAUCUUUCAGGGGCAAAUCGACCCUGCUUUCUUCUGCAUGGUCGCCUCUGGUCUGGCUCCGGUCCCCAGACUCUCAUCGCUGAAUGGUGGAAGUGAAGGGUACUGCUCCCCCGUGAUCACCUCAGGAGGACUCUUUGUUGGAGUCUGAGUUGGAGUCCUACGCCCAUCCCAAGAGAUGCCACCGGUACCCAUCUAAUGUACCGUCGCAUCCCGAUGCGGGUUCCCGCCCCAGUACCUUGUCAGGUGGAUGAUGGCCUGUGCAAUGGCCAUUCUGGAACCCAUGGGGAUUUUCCCCAAUACCGGGUCCGUCGUCCCACUGAUUAUACUCAGUUGCUUCACUGCUGUGCUCGGCACUGGACCCUGACUCUUGUACCGAACCCGGCACCGAUGCACAGGAUGUGGGCUCCAUGGGAGUAAUCGAUGCAGAGGAACAGGAGGAAGCUCCUUCUCUGGUACAGGCCUCUUCCUCCUCCCCAGAUAAGGCUGUCUUGGGACCCAGCAGAUCCACCAGGAGCUUCUAAAGAGGAUAGUGGCUAACCUGGGACUAGAGGCUGAGGAGCUCAAGGAAUCAUCUCACAGCCUCAUUGACAUUCUGACUGCAGCAGCACCAUCUAAGGUGGCCCUGCCCAGUAACAAGGCUGUAAUGGGUCUGGUCAGAGCCCUGUGACAGACUCCUUCUUCUCUCCCUCCCACUUCAAAAAGGGCAGAGAAGAAAUACUACAGCCAAAGGGUAUGAGUACCUGUACACUCACCGUCCUCCGGGUCCCUUGUUGUCUUGGUGGUCAAUGAGAGGGAUAGAUGAGGCCAAGCAAGCGCAACCCCGAAACAGAAGGACUCAAAGAAACUGGAUCUGCUUGGCAGAAAAAUGUAUUCGAUGGGUGGACUACAGCUGUUUAUCUCGAACCAGCAAGCCCUGCUGGGGAGAUACAAUUUCAACUUGUGGGACUCCUUGUCAAAAUUUAAAGAUUCGCUGCCUUAGGACUCCAGGCAAGAAUUCUAUGCCCUCUUUGAGGAGGGAAAAAAUGUUGUGAGGGCCUCACCCUAGGCAGCACUGGACAGUGCUGAUGCGGCUGCCAAAACAAUGGCCUCUGCAGUGGCCACGAGGUGAUGCUCUUGGCUACAGUCCUUGGGGCUACCUGAGGAGGUCCAGCAGUCGAUUCAAGGCCUCCCUUUCCAAGGCACCUUGUUUUCAGAGCAAACAGACACAAAGCUCUGUGGCUUGAAGGACUCAAGGGCUACCCUCAGGUCCCUGGGCCUCUAUGCCUUGGCUACUUACAGGAAGUGCUUCAGGCCUCAACAACCGGCCCACUUCACAGCUCUGCCGCCAAGACAGGGCCUGUUCAAGAGAAGGGGCGGGUAUUACAAGCCUCGUCAACUGCUUCCAUCCACCUCAGUCUCACUGCUGGGGUUGAAUAGGUACUCCCGGAGGGCCCAAACAAGCCUUUUGAAGGUGCGCCCGAGGGCGCUAUACCAGUACCUGCUUCAGAUCCUGCCCCCUCUUUGUUUUUGGACUGACUUUCCCACUUCGGCCCAGCGUGGUUCCUCAUCACAUCAGACCUUUAUGUGCUAAAUACAGUGGUGGAUGGUUAUACCCUUCAGUUUUCCUCCACCCCUUCCUCCCACCCCCCAUCCAUGUCCCUCUUCAAGGACCCUUCUCACAAGCAACUCCUAGCCCAGGAGGUGCAAACCCUUCUAUGGGUGGGGUCAGUGGAAGAGGUGGCUCAAAAUUUGAGAGGGAAGGCAUUUUAUUCCCGAUAUUUCCUAAUCCCAAAGCUUCGUCCCAUCCUGGACCUGCGUCACCUCAACAGACAUCUCAAGAAACUGAGGUUCUGCAUUGUCUCCCUGGCCUCCAUCAUCUCCUCCCAGCAUCCAGGGGAUUGGUACACCCAGGUUCCCUUUCAGAUGCCUUCCUGCUUCCAUGGACAGAGUGCCUAUUCUAUACAUUUCCUCCAGUUCUUCUGGUACACAAGGUCCUACUGAAAAUCAAGUGGGUCAAGGUGAGAGUUAUUCUUAUAGCUCCGGCGUGGCCAUGCCAACACUGGUUCAGCACACUGCUAGACUUAUCAGUAGCACCCCCGUUGCUGCUCCCCCUCUGCCCAGACAUGAUCUCACAAGACCACAGCUGUUUACUCCACCCAAAGCUCGAGGCCUUUCACCUGACUGCAUGGAAGCUCCAUGGCUGAACCUGGAGGAGCAAGCCUGUUCAGAACAAGUUCUCCAGGUCUUGCUAGGUAGUAGGAAGCCGUUUACUAGGGCAACCUACCUCGCUAAGCAGAAGCGUUUCUUGAUACAAUCUUCUCAACGAGGUCUCUCCCUGAUUCGGUCUUCCCUUCAAUCUAUACUGGAUUCCCUGCUCUACCUGAACCAGCAAGGUCUGCCCUUGCAUCUAUCAAGGUAUGCCUAGCAGCAUUUUCGGCCUUUCACCUGCCAAUGGAGGUGGUAGGCCAGUAUUUUCUCACGAGAUGGCAAUCUGCUUUCUUAAAAGUUAGCGAGGCUGUACCCUCAGGUUUGUGAACUGAUUCCCCCAUGGGAUUUAAACCUGGUCCUAUCAAAACUCGCUGGCCCGCCCUUUGAGCCACUAGUGUCAUGCCCUCUGCUGUUUCUCUCAUGGAAGGUUGCCUUUCAACAGCAAUUACCUCAGUCAGAAAGGUCUCUGAAAUCAGGGCCCUUAAGUCAGAACCAGUGUCCUUCAAGGACAAGGUUCAACUACGGCUCCAUCCAACCUUCCUUCCAAAGGUGGUCUCACAGUUCUAUAGCAACCAAGUCAUUUUCCUGCCCAUUUUCUUCCUGAGGCCACACAAGAAUUCAGAAGAUCCGUGGCUUAGAUGUUAGGCGUGUCCCUACCUUAUACAUUGAGAUGACUAACCCGUUCCGCAGAUCCACACAACUCUUGUGGCAAUAGCAGAGAGGAUGAAAGGCCUGCUGGUUGCAGCCCAGAGAAUCUCAUCCUGGGUAACCUCCUGUAUUUGAGCAUGUUCUAGCUCUUGCCAUCAUGACCACUCAUUCCACGAAAGCUCAGGCCUAUUCUGCAUCAUUUGUGACGCAGGUCCCAAUCCAAGACUUCUGCAGGGUCGCAACCUAGUUGUCGGUGCAUACCUUCUUCUCCCACUGUGCCAUCACACAACAGACUUGAGAUGAUGCAAGGUUUGGGAGAGCACUGUUCCAGUCCGCGUGUCCAUGAGCUCUGAGUCCACCUCCUUGGGUACAGCUUGUGAGUCACCUAACGUGGAAUGGAUAUGAACAAUCACUCGAAGAAAAAUGGUUACUAACCUUUCUGUAUCUGUGGUUCUUCAAGAUGUGUUGCUCAUGUCCAUUCCACAGCCCACCCUCCUACCCCUCUGUCAGAGUUAGCUGGCAAGAUGGAACUGAGAGGAUGUGGGGCCGGAAGUGACCCUUAUGCUGGUGCAUAAGCAUGUGGCACCAG